AGAGUUUGAUCCUGGCUCAGGAUGAACGCUGGCGGCGUGCUUAACACAUGCAAGUCGAACGGAGCGUCUUUGAUGGAGGAUUCGUCCAACUGAUAAGAUUGCUUAGUGGCGGACGGGUGAGUAACGCGUGGGUAACCUGCCCUGUACACACGGAUAACAUACCGAAAGGUAUGCUAAUACGAGAUAAUAUGCUUUUAUCGCAUGGUAGAAGUAUCAAAGCUUUUGCGGUACAGGAUGGACCCGCGUCUGAUUAGCUAGUUGGUAAGGUAACGGCUUACCAAGGCGACGAUCAGUAGCCGACCUGAGAGGGUGAUCGGCCACAUUGGAACUGAGACACGGUCCAAACUCCUACGGGAGGCAGCAGUGGGGAAUAUUGCACAAUGGGCGAAAGCCUGAUGCAGCAACGCCGCGUGAGCGAUGAAGGCCUUCGGGUCGUAAAGCUCUGUCCUCAAGGAAGAUAAUGACGGUACUUGAGGAGGAAGCCCCGGCUAACUACGUGCCAGCAGCCGCGGUAAUACGUAGGGGGCGAGCGUUGUCCGGAAUGACUGGGCGUAAAGGGCGCGUAGGCGGCCUGAUAAGUUAGAGGUGAAAGUCCAGCUUUCGAGGUUGGAAUUGCCUUUAAUACUGUUGGGCUUGAGUGCGGAAGAGGUAAGUGGAAUUCCCAGUGUAGCGGUGAAAUGCGUAGAGAUUGGGAGGAACACCAGUGGCGAAGGCGACUUACUGGGCCGUAACUGACGCUGAGGCGCGAAAGCGUGGGGAGCGAACAGGAUUAGAUACCCUGGUAGUCCACGCGGUAAACGAUGAAUGCUAGGGUGUAGGGGGUAUCGACCCCUCCUGUGCCGGAGUAAACACAAUAAGCAUUCCGCCUGGGGAGUACGGCCGCAAGGUUGAAACUCAAAGGAAUUGACGGGGACCCGCACAAGUAGCGGAGCAUGUGGUUUAAUUCGAAGCAACGCGAAGAACCUUACCUAAGCUUGACAUCCUUUUGACCUCUCCCUAAUCGGAGAUUUCCCUUCGGGGACAGAAGUGACAGGUGGUGCAUGGUUGUCGUCAGCUCGUGUCGUGAGAUGUUGGGUUAAGUCCCGCAACGAGCGCAACCCUUGCCUUUAGUUGCCAUCAUUAAGUUGGGCACUCUAGAGGGACUGCCAGGGAUAACCUGGAGGAAGGUGGGGAUGACGUCAAAUCAUCAUGCCCCUUAUGCUUAGGGCUACACACGUGCUACAAUGGGUGGUACAGAGGGCAGCCAAGUCGUGAGGCGGAGCUAAUCCCUUAAAGCCAUUCUCAGUUCGGAUUGUAGGCUGAAACUCGCCUACAUGAAGCUGGAGUUACUAGUAAUCGCAGAUCAGAAUGCUGCGGUGAAUGCGUUCCCGGGUCUUGCACUCACCGCCCGUCA
rnacentral:rRNA from 1 species